AUUGAUCUAUCAAUACCAACACCGUGAACUUCUAUUGUCUGGGUCCGUUCCAUGGACUUAAUUGAACAUGGGAUGCAGAGAGGAAGAGCAAUCUACCUCUUUGGACCUGCAUUGACAUUCAUUUGUCAUAUGUGGGUUGGCCCCCUCUUAUCUAACCCAACACCAAACAAAACCUUUCGAAAUUUAACAUAUGCAGCUGGCCUAGCCAAUGCAUUUAACAGAGACAACUCUCAACAACGGAUAUCUUGGCUCUCGCAACGAUGAAGAACGCAGCGAAAUGCGAUACGUAGUGUGAAUUGCAGAAUUCCGUGAACCAUCGAAUCUUUGAACGCAAAUUGCGCUCGAGGCUUCGGCCAAGAGCAUGUCUGCCUCAGCGUCGGGUUAAUAUCACUAUCUAUUAUACUUAUGUAUAAUUCAUUGGUGGAUCUGGCUGUUCCAGCUAGUGCCGUGGCUUUUAAUAGCCGCCUAGUGUGCAUCUGGAUCAGCUGAAGUGCAGAGGCUAACCAAGGACCCGUCAAGGGCCGCAACUGGGUGGGCAGAAAUGCUAAUUCUUAGUUGUUGGCUUGGGACUUUGCUUGUUCGGCCCUCAAACAGGAAUCAAUAACCUAUUUUCUCGACCUGAGCUCAGGCAAGAACACCCGCUGAACUUAA
rnacentral:misc_RNA from 1 species